GACGAACGCUGGCGGCGUGCUUAACACAUGCAAGUCGAACGGAAAGGCUCCAGCUUGCUGGAGUGCUCGAGUGGCGAACGGGUGAGUAACACGUGGGCAAUCUGCCCUGCACUCUGGGAUAAGCCUGGGAAACUGGGUCUAAUACCGGAUAGGACCUUUCUCCUCAUGGGGUUUGGUGGAAAGUUUUUCGGUGCAGGAUGAGCCCGCGGCCUAUCAGCUUGUUGGUGGGGUAAUGGCCUACCAAGGCGACGACGGGUAGCCGGCCUGAGAGGGUGAUCGGCCACAUUGGGACUGAGAUACGGCCCAGACUCCUACGGGAGGCAGCAGUGGGGAAUAUUGCACAAUGGGCGAAAGCCUGAUGCAGCGACGCCGCGUGAGGGAUGACGGCCUUCGGGUUGUAAACCUCUUUCAGUAGGGACGAAGCGAAAGUGACGGUACCUGCAGAAGAAGCACCGGCUAACUACGUG
rnacentral:rRNA from 1 species